AUUAACUUGUGGUUGAGAC
rnacentral:misc_RNA from 1 species